ensembl:lncRNA
ACUGAUGGCUCUAUCCCCUCCAUAUCCAGAGCAGUAAUUCCAGCACUAAGGAAAUGACCUCCAGCAAGAUUAACCAGAAGACUCAUGUGGGUCUGGCCCUCUGUGUACCCUGAAGAUCUCACCCAUUCCACUUCUCCCUCCACCCACAUCAUCAUACCCCGGUAUUGGGAUGCCCUGUGCCUUAUUCCACAGUCCCCUGCGGAUGGUCACUUCAGGUACGUUUCUUAUCUUUUGCAUUUACAAGCAGUGUUGUAGUGAAUAGCUUGUGCAUAUGAUGCUUUUGUAUUUUUGUCAGUAUAUCUUUAAGAUCGAUCCCUAGAAGUAGAACUGCUGAGUUAAAGGGCAUAUGUGUGUAUCAUUUGCUAGAUGCUAUCAAACCCCCUCUAUAGACUGAACCACUGAAUGUUUAAAAUGUGCAAAAAUGAGGGUUAAGACGCAGCACCCCAUCUUUACACACCUGGUGACAAGGGAACCUCCCAAUGUUCUACCCAAGACACCAGCUUGCAUAGAUCUCACAAAGGAACACCCAGGCCCUUGGGAGUCCUGGAAGGAGCCGUAAAACAACAUUGUCUUUACUUCAGCUGGAAUAACAUUUUAACAGGUAGCCCUGUUCAUCUCUCUACAGGGUCACAAAGAGCCAAACAUGACCGGGCAAAUGAGCUGAACUGUUUGUUCAUCUCAGGCUGAGCAAGAGCCCUGAGUGAGUGGUUUUUUUCUUUUUUUGUCUUCUUUGAUAGAUAAGACACUUCAAAAUUAUCUCUUCAUGUGUUUGGUUGUAUGUAUGUUUGGCAUAGCAUAUUAAAAAGCAGAGACAUUACUUUGCUGACAAAGGUCUGUAUAGUCAACGCUAUGGUUUUUCCAGUGGUCAUGUAUGGAUGUGAGAGUUGAACCAUAAAGAAGGCUGAGCACUGAAGAAUUGAUGUUUUUGAACUGUGGUGUUAGAGAAGACUCUUGAGCUUCCUUUGGAUUGCAAGGAGAUCAAACUAGUCAAUCUUGAAGGAAAUCAAUCCUGAAUAUUUAUGGAAGGACUGAUGCUGAAGCUGAAGCUCCAGUACUUUGGCCACCUGAUGUGAAGAAUGGACUCAUUAGAAAAGGCCCUGAUCAUGGGAAAGAUUGAAGGCAGGAGAAGAGAACUACAGAGGAUGAGAUGAUCGGAUGGCAUCACUGACUCAAUGGACAUGAGUUUCAGCAAGCUUCGGGAGAUGGUGAUGGACAGGGAGGCCAUGCUGCAGUCCAUGGGGUCGCAAAUACUGAACCACUGAACAACAACAACAAACGUUUGGUUUAGCAGACAAAAUGUUUCCAGGCACGGACACUAUUGGUGAAUUACAUCAGAAUUCAACCCAUUUCUCCUCAGCAAAUGUACAAUAUUAAAUUCAUGGUUUAUAUGACCCUGCUAUUCUUUUUUUACAAGUAGAAGGAAAAUUAACAUGUUUAAUAUGCAUUCACACCCAUAUGCAAUCAACCAGAUUCAAUUGAACCCCCUCCCUGUCCCCUCUCUAUCCCCACCUCUAAGCCAGACAUAAAGAACUGCACAGCCCCCAGGCUGAAUCCAGAACACAUUUGUUGGGGAAUUGUUUUUUGGAAAAAAAAAAAAAAAGAUAAGUUGCUAACAUUUAAAAUAAAGAGAUUGUACAUAAAUACCCA